AAUGAACGUUGGCGGCGUGGAUUAGGCAUGCAAGUCGUACGGGUCGGUGUAGCAAUACAACGGCAAGUGGCGAAAGGGAGAGUAACACGUAGAUACCUACCCUCUGGUCGGGGAUACCGCGGCAUAACCGCAAGUAAUACCCGAUAAAAUCUCCGGAUCAAAGGUGUGAUUCCGCCGGAGGAGGGGUCUGCGUUCUAUCAGCUUGUAGGUGAGGUAAUGGCUCACCAAGGCUAAGACGGAUACGGGGUGUGAGAGCAUGCCCCCGCUCACUGGGACUGAGACACUGCCCAGACACCUACGGGUGGCUGCAGUCGAGAAUCUUCGGCAAUGGGCGCAAGCCUGACCGAGCGACGCCGCGUGCGGGACGAAGGCCUUCGGGUUGUAAACCGCUGUCGAGGGGAAUGAAGUGCAAGUGAGUUAUCUCAUUUGUUUGACAGAUCCCUGGAGGAAGCAUGGGCUAAGUUCGUGCCAGCAGCCGCCGUAAGAC
rnacentral:rRNA from 1 species